rnacentral:misc_RNA from 1 species
GACGUAGGGCGCGAGCGUUGUCCGGAUUUAUUGGGCGUAAAGAGCUCGUAGGCGGCUUGUUGCGUCGACCGUGAAAACCUGGGGCUCAACUUCGGGCUUGCGGUCGAUACGGGCGGGCUAGAGUUCGGUAGGGGAGACUGGAAUUCCUGGUGUAGCGGUGAAAUGCGCAGAUAUCAGGAGGAACACCGGUGGCGAAGGCGGGUCUCUGGGCCGAUACUGACGCUGAGGAGCGAAAGCGUGGGGAGCGAACAGG